rnacentral:tRNA from 1 species
GCGGGAGUAGCUCAGCGGUAGAGCACCUCGUUGCCAACGAGGGGGUCGCGGGUUCAAAUCCCGUCUCCCGCUCCA